rnacentral:tRNA from 1 species
GGAGGGUACAGCUCAGUGGUAGAGCACAUGCUUAGCACGCAUGAGGCCCUGGGUUCAAUCCCCAGUCCCUCCA